rnacentral:lncRNA from 1 species
UCGACGGUCAAUGUAUUCGUCGAAACACUGCAUUGGUGAGCGAGAUGUUGGGGUGGCCAGUAUAAUUAGUUGUGUGCCGGGUUUUCAGGAUUUAUUUGAACAGGGGAAUCUUCAUCAGAUUUGUGAUUUUCCGGAACAAACCGGUUAUUAUUUGGAGUUGAUCAGAGAAUUUUACAUGCGAGCAGGUCACCUCAGUGACUCCGACGGUGGUCCGUACGUGUUUAAGACCUUCGUACGUGGUGUUGAGUUAUCCAUCACUCCUGCGACAAUAGCUUCAGUGCUAGAGAUGGAAGCUCAGACUGACGGAGUGGAGUAUCUGCAGGCCGGGUUCGA